UUCUCCUUCAAUUGAGUUCAAGAAAUUCUGCCAAUUGAAGCCCUAAUCGUAGUUGUAUUCAUGCAUGUCAAUGAUUUCUUGGUCAUCUAGCCCUAACAAAUACAUGAAUAGGAACCACACUAGCAUGGACCAAGCAUGGAAGGCUAACGGGUCAAGAUGAGGCAAGGAAGCGGGUAUGAACACGGAUGCACAAGGUAAGUGAUUCCGUAAUCACUUCUUAGUUGUUUAUGUAAUGUUAUAUGCAAUUUAAUUAUAUGUGAUAAUUGAGGUCAAAUAGGAAUGAAUUGUAUGAUGUCAAUGAAGUAUUAAACGGAUCUUAGUUUUGAUCCGAGCAAGGUAGGUGUGAUUAAGAAAUUGUAGCUAAGUAGUGGAAUUGGUUACUUAUGUAAGGAAUUCCUUUGUUAUUAAGGAUAGAGCAUAGUUGACUAAAAUGCCCUUGAUAGGUAUAUCGGGCAAAUGACCUUAGAAGUCGUUUGGAAACGAGCUAUUCGAUUAGAGUAAUGUCUUGGACAAGUAUGAAAGCGAAGUAUAGGGUUUUGUAUGUCAUAGUCCACUUAAUGCGCAAAUACCCAUAACGGGUCAAAAAUAAGCUUUUGAGCAAAAAUGGGUUAAGAGGAUGCAAGACGUCCGAGAAUUUAAUCUUUUAUGAUAGGUGCCAAUGAAAUUAUUAAAGUUCAUAUGAGAUUGAGGUCAAAUAAACAGAUUAUGUUGAUAAAUGCACGAACGGGUCAAAUAGUUAGAAAAUGAUAAUAUGUCGAAUGCACGUAAGUUAAGAAAUUCCU
rnacentral:lncRNA from 1 species